GAUGGAUCAUUUCGAUGAAACCUUUUUUUCUUGAGGUGUGGCUCGCACCUGUCUAACUAAACUUGAGCUACCAUUUUUUCAACACGGUUGCAUCGGUUGGCCUGUCAAUUAGUGCGGCGGCGCGAAUUUACUUUGCACCUGCCAAGCUAGGCGACGGACCGACGCCUUACUUUAAACACUUUUGAUGAUCUAGGAUUUGAAGGAUAAAAGUUCAUUUUUACAAUGAAAUCGACUGGUAAUGCGGUCGUCUAAUUUUAAAAACAACUUUUGGCAACGGAUCUCUUGGUUCUCCCAUCGAUGAAGAACGCAGCGAAUUGCGAUAAGUAAUGUGAAUUGCAGAAGUGAAUCAUCGAAUCUUUGAACGCACCUUGCGCUCCCGGCAGAUCUAAUCUGGGGAGCAUGCCUGUUUGAGGGCCGCGAAUUGUUUCGAACGACAACUUUUUUCACAAAGAGUUGGCGGAUCGGUAUUGAGGGUUUUGCCAUUCACCGUGGCUCUCUCGAAAUGCAUUAGCGCAUCCAUUUGAUAGGCAAGACGGACGAAAGCUCCUCUUUCGCUCUCUCUUCCCUGCCGGGUUUUGAUAAUAUCAGGACUUCGGAGAGGUUGAGAUGGGUACGGAGCUGGACGCAACGGCUUGCUGUUUGGAGUGCUUCUGAAACCCGCCCAUGUCGAGCUUUUUUGCUCGAAAGGGAUUUACUAAUUCACAUCGGCCUCAGAUGGGUAGGACUACCCGCUGAACUUAAGCAUUCAAUAAGCGGAGGAAAAGAAACUAACAAGGAUUCCCCUAGUAACGGCGAGUGAAGAGGGAAGAGCCCAAGAUUGAAAGCUGGCGUCUUUGGCGUUCGCAUUGUAAUCUCAAGAAGUGUUUUCCGUUUCGGACCAUGCCUAAGUCUCUUGGAAAAGAGCAUCAUAGAGGGUGAUAAUCCCGUACAUGGCAUGGAGCGCCCGAGACUUUGUGAUACACUUUCUAAGAGUCGAGUUGUUUGGGAAUGCAGCUCAAAAUGGGUGGUAAAUGCCAUCUAAGGCUAAAUAUUGGGGAGAGACCGAUAGCGAACAAGUACAGUGAUGGAAAGAUGAAAAGAACUUUGAAAAGAGAGUUAAACAGUACGUGAAAUUGCCAAAAGGGAAGGGUAGGAGGUCAGAGAUGCGUUCUGGGAUUCAGCCUUGCUUUUGCUUGGUGUUUUUCCCAGAUGGCAGGCCAACGUCGGUUUUGGGCGCUGGAGAAGGGUGGAAGGAAUGUGGCACCUCUCGGGGUGUGUUAUAGCCUUCUACUGGAUACAGUGACCGAGACCGAGGACAGCAGCGUACUCGCAAGAGCGGGCUUCGGGCACUUUACGCUUAGGGCGUUGGCAUAAUGGCCCUCUACCACCCGCUUGAACCCGGACCAAGGAGUCU
rnacentral:rRNA from 1 species